rnacentral:rRNA from 1 species
CCUACGGGAGACAGCAGUAGGGAAUAUUGCGCAAUGGGCGAAAGCCUGACCCAGCAACGCCGCGUGAAGGAAGAAGGCUUUCGGGUUGUAAACUUCUUUUGUCAGAGACGAAACAAGUGACGGUACCUGACGAAUAAGCCACGACUAACUCAGUUCCAGCCGCCGCAGGACUACGGAGGUGGCAAGCGUUAUCAGGAUUUACUGGGUGUAACGGGCGUGUAGGCGGGACUGCAAGUCAGAUGUGAAAACCACGGGCUCAACCUGUGGCCUGCAUUUGAAACUGUAGUUCUUGAGGAUUGGAGAGGCAGAUGGAAUUCCUAGUGUAGCGGUGAAAGGCGUAGAUAUUAGGAGGAAUACCAGUGGCGAAGGCGGUCUGCUGGACAGCAACUGACGCUGAGGCGCGAAAGCGUGGGGAGCAAACAGGAUUAGAUACCCGUGUAGUC